UCUUAACAAAACACAUGUUCUACGAGUUUGGAAAUAUGCACAUCAUCAAGCACGGCAAAGGUAUUGGGAAAUGUUUGUAAUAGAUACAAUCAGGUUUAAAAAAAGAAUUGAAAAAACUUCAAAAAUAAUAUCCCCGAUUUUAAGUUUAAAUCAUAGAACGUAUGUAUACAAUAACAGGUUUAAAUAAAUAUUAAAACAUAAAA
rnacentral:lncRNA from 1 species